CCUACGGGAGGCAGCAGUGAGGAAUAUUGGUCAAUGGGCGCUAGCCUGAACCAGCCAAGUAGCGUGAAGGAUGACUGCCCUAUGGGUUGUAAACUUCGUUUAUAGGGGAAUAAAGUGCAGUAGGUAGACUGCUUUGCAUGUACCUUAUGAAUAAGGAUCGGCUAACUCCGUGCCAGCAGCCGAGGUAAUACGGAGGGUCCGCGCGUUAUCCGGAUUUAGUGGGGUUAAAGGGAGCGUAGGCGGGUUGUUAAGUCAGUUUUGAAAGUUUGCGGCUCCACCGUAAAAUGGCAGUUGAUACUGGCAUCCUUGAGUACAUUAGAGGUCGGCGGAAUUCGUGGUGUAGCGGU
rnacentral:rRNA from 1 species